CGUAGGGCGCAAGCGUUGUCCGGAAUUAUUGGGCGUAAAGAGCUCGUAGGUGGUUUGUCGCGUCUGCCGUGAAACCCGAGGCUUAACCUCGUGGCUUGCGGUGGAUACGGGCAGACUAGAGGUAGGUAGGGGAGAAUGGAAUUCCCGGUGUAGCGGUGAAAUGCGCAGAUAUCGGGAGGAACACCGGUGGCGAAGGCGGUUCUCUGGGCCUUACCUGACGCUGAGGAGCGAAAGCGUGGGGAGCGAACAGGAUUAGAUACCCUGGUAGUCCACGCCGUAAACGUUGGGCGCUAGGUGUGGGGUCUUUCCACGGACUCCGUGCCGUAGCUAACGCAUUAAGCGCCCCGCCUGGGGAGUACGGCCGCAAGGCUA
rnacentral:rRNA from 1 species